UUUAGGUUUUAACAUCAGACAUCAUUGUUCUUAUCAUCCUCAGUCAGCUGGUGCGGUUGAACGAGAAAAUGGUACCAUUAAAUCUAAACUGGCGAAAUGUUGUGAAGAGACAGGCCUAUCUUGGGUAAAAGCACUUCCGCUGGUGCUUUUUCACAUGCGCAUGCGAAUCAGGAACAAACAUGGCCUCAGCCCUUUUGAGAUAGUGCUCGGGAGACCCCCUCGCACUGGACUGGGCCCAGUAAGACACGCUUUGACGACUGAUCAUAAUGAAGACAGCAUGCUAAGAUAUUGUGCUAAUCUCUCAUCCUCACUCUCAGCACUUCACAGACAGGUGAAAGCUGCACUUCCCUCACCAGCCACUGCGAUCCAGCAUCACCUGAAACCAGGAGACUGGGUGCUCAUCAAGGAUCAUAGGAGAAAGCAUUGGAAGCAGAGACGCUACACAGGUCCCUUCCAAGUACUCCUGACCACAGAGACGGCGGUGAAGGUGGAAGGAAAAGCAACGUGGGUCCACGCCAGCCACUGCAAACGCAUCCCAAACCCAGAAGGAGAAGGAGCAGCUGCGACGGGUCCGGACUAAAGGGGAAGGCAUAUGCCCAUUUCAUCCAGGUCUCCUAUGCUGAUUCCAGUUCCCUUCACGGAAGCCGACUGGAGCGUUAUGGGAUGGCCUGAUAUAGCUCGUCAAUUCAUGCAAGUUCUGCGGUUCACGAUGUGAUAACAGACACGGAACGAGGAAUUGAGGAGUUGCAUAAAGACCAUGGCUGGAAUCCCUUUGGGGGGAUGCAGGCAUGGUUAGGAUCAUGGGGAGCUUCUCUUCUCAAGGGAUUGGUAUGGAUAAUAGCAGUCAUCAUUCUUGUUAUAAUUACUAUCACCCUAAUCACAACCGCUUCUAAGAUUUGUGUUCGGAAGAUAGUUACAACUCACGCAUCGGGUCAGCACAUGACCACACCGGUAGAACUCCCAGUCCGGAAAAGGGUUCCACAGUAUCUUGACAGCUCCGAUAGUGAUAAUGAGCUUGAGGACAAUGUUUAAGCAAGCAAUGUAUUUACACAGUAGAUUUAGCAAACUAUAAUCAAUUUUGUAUGUACUUCUUUGAGGUUGAUGAUGUGAUGUUUUGAAAUCUUUGUGAAUCUACACCACGGAUGUAUGCUCGAAGAAUGUUUAACAUUUUGUUACUAUUUUUCAGUUGUUAAAUUGUCAAAAAUGACAAAAAGAGAGGAUUGUUGGAGGAGAAAAUGUGUCAACAGUUGUCUCUCCCAUCUGUCUAUGGGGGAUAAUCUAAUCCUGUGUGGCGUCAUGUGCAAGGUCACAAACCGAUGACUUGAGGUGAUGGACCAACCGGAAAGGUCACUCAAAUGUUGGGGGGUUGCAGAAUAAACAGAGCCGUCAGGGAUCUCCACUUCCUCUUUAGUGGUAACAGAUGGGCUCUGGAAUGUGUACGUCUCGGCGAUGUGUAUAAGAACGAGACGAGCCGAUGAGGAGGGCAGCAUUAAGUCCGAGUCUCCUACAAAGGAGAGUGACAGACUUUGCUCCGCUCAGCUGGGUGUUUCCAUGACUUGUUUGAUGUGAUAUACUUAUUUGUUCCAUGACUUAUUUGUCCAGUUGAAUCACUUGUCCACUUGUUUGUACCUGGCUCACAUUCUGAUCAUUUGUGAACUUGUUACUAUAUAAUAAAGUGUGAUAAGACCACCGUG